AUCCAUGGCUGCUGGCUCCUCCAACCACUUCUGUUUCUUCUCCUUAGCUUUGCUCGACUUUCUCCCCACAGCAGCGACGGCGACGCUCAGCAACUCCCUCAAUCAUUUGCUGGCAGGCACUCGCGACCUGCGGCCGUGGCUGCGGUGAAGACAAAAUGGCGGGGUCCUGCACUGCGCAUGUGCCUCGCGGGCUCCGCGGCCCCCUUCCCACUGCGCCCUGGCACCCACUCGCGCCCCCUCGCGGGCCACGUUGGUUAAAUGAACGGAUGCAGGAUACAGAGGGCCUGUGGAUAUAGACGGCUGACUGAAUGUACACGUUUACUAUAUAAUUUUGUUUGUAAAUUAUAUUAUGAUUUAAUUCUAUUUAUAACUUUAUAAUUUUUUGUUUUACAAGCCUAUAGAAUUAUAUAUAAUUAUUGUAGUUUAUCCUUAUCUCUGUUUCACGGAGAGGUAAAUGAUGACCAGGGAGUUACAAAGCUUCAUAAGUUUCUCGUGAGUACCAGGGAGCAGAGCCGGGGUCUAAACCAGUCUGCCUUUUUUCUGAAGCCAGAGUCCUCUUCUUUACACCAAGCUACUCUAUAGAAAGAGCAUUCUCAGGCCAGGCGCAGUGGUUCACACCUGUAAUCCCAGCACUUUGGGAGGCCGAGACGGGUGGAUCACCUGAGGCCAGGAGUUGGAGACCAGCCUGACCAACAUGGUGAAACUCCGUCUCUACUAAAAAUACAAAAAUUAGCCAGGCGUGGUGGCCUGCACCUGCAAUCCCAGCUAUUCAGGAGGUGGAAGUAGGAGAAUCGCUUGAACCCGGGAGGUGAAGGUUGCAGUGAACCAGGAUCACGCCACUGCACCGGGAUCGUGCCACUGCACUCCAGCCUGAGCGACAGACUCCGUCUCACCAAAAAAAAAAGUAAAAUAAAAAUGUAGGAAGAGCAUUCUCAGAGAAGCUCAGUUCCAACCUUCAACCUCAAUUUUUUAUCACCUUAUGUUUUUUAUUUAGGGAAUGUGUAUUGGAGAAAAAAUAACAGAGUCUGGCUAAAGAGAUGAAGAGCUCAUGAGGGCGUGUCUCAAUUUAAACAAGAGUAGCAUUGGCAAUUGUUGUCCUUAGCAGCAGCCGACAAGGCGGAAUUGGAAUGGUGCUGCUCCUGACUACCUCUACUCCACGCUAGGCUUAGGGGCUGGAGUGACCCAAGCCCUCAGGGACCUGCAGCGGCUGAAGUCCUCUCAGCACCUGCAAUAUCCCAGAGGGCAAAGACAGGGCCAAAUACUGGAUUCUGGAUUCUCUUCAUUGUUGUCCCCCUGCAAGUGGAGAGGUAUCCAGGCUGGGCCUUGUCCUAAGAUAUGACGGAACUGAAUUCUUCCAGCAAGCAUGUGAGCUUGGAAGAGAACACCAUGCGCCACACGAGAAUGCAUACUGGCCAACACCCUGUGCAAAGAUCCAGAGAAGCUGUGCUCAGACUCCUGACUCAUGAAAAUAGUGAACUUAUAAAUGUAUAUUGUUUUAAGAUGCUAAAUUUGUGGUGAUGUGUUACAUGGCAAUAGAAAACUAAUAGAGAUAAAACUUGACAUUUGAAGUGCAUCACAUAAUGAAAUUAGUAGAUGAGAAUCUCUCUAGAAACAAGUAAAAUUUUGAGUUAAAAUGAGAGACUGGACAUAUAAUUCCUCCUCCCUCCAAAAUCCCAGGAAAUGAGUAGUUAAAAAAAUUUUUUUUUAAUUUUACAAGAUAAGAACAACAAGCAGAGAUACUUGAAGUAGGGGCUGGUUCUUCUUCACUCCCUUUGUUAUAUAACUGAACUUCCUCACACUUGAGAAGUACAUUUCCCUGCUCCUUGACUUUCAACUCAGCCAUGUGGCUUGCUUUGGCCAAUGAGUUAUAGGUAGACGUGAUGUGACCAGAGGUUUAGAACUCAUCACUGAUCUUGAAACCACCUUUGCAAAAUUAUGACUGAGACAGUGAAACAGAUCUAACUUAGCCAACUCCGUCUUCUUCCAACCUGCAGGCUGUGCUUGUUCAUUCUGGGUGUAGGCUGAACUAACUUUGGGAGAAACUUAGUUUAUAGUUUAAAACAAAGAUGAUAACAGCCCUUUCCCAAAGCAGACCUUCUUCUUGCCUGGGGACUAGAUUGCCUUUGUAGGACUGACAGUAGCCACGAGAUUAGAAAUUAUGAUUUAGGAAUCGUGCAGCUGGAGGCUACAAGAUUCUGACCCUCCCUAAAUUGCUCCUAAGAUCAAUGCUUGAGAUAUUUUGCAGACCCUGCACUUGAUGGCACCACUCAGAUCAAUAAACUGGCUCAUCUGAUCUUGUGGCCCCUUACCCAGGAACUGACUCAUCACAAGAAGACAGCUUCAACUCCCUAUGAUUUCAUCUUUGACCAAUCAGCACUCCUGGCUCACCGGCUUCCCACACACCCACCAAGUUGUUCUUAAAAACUCUGCUCUCCGAAUGCUCGGGGAGACUGAUUUGAGUAAUAAUAAAACUCUGUUCUCCCACACAGCCGGCUCUGUGUGAAUAACUCUUUCUCUAUUGCAAUUCCCCUGUCUUGAUAAAUUGUCUCAGUCUAGGCAGCAGGCAAGGUGAGCCCACUGUGCAGUUACAAUCUUGCCUUUUAUGCUUCUACCAUCACUAUGUGAAGAGCUGCACUGGCUAGCAUUCUGGUCCAAUUGGAGUGGGAAAGACAUUGAGUAGAUCUGGACAACCUGCUGCUUAGAACAUAUCCCAGCUAAGCUCAACAUGGAUUAAAUGACCCCAGGUUAAUGUGCAAACAUCUGAGAGAAAAUAAAUGAUUGUUUUCUUAAGCCACCAAUAUUUUCAGUUGUUAUUCAGUAACAUUGUGAAAAGAGGUGACUAAUACAAGAGAAGAAACAACAGUAAAAAAAAUUUGGACGUGUAAAAGCAGAUGGUAAUGUCCACUUUCAUUUCUGACAGUAUAACAUAUCAAAACUAAUGCCAGUUCUAGAACUGAGACAUAAAACAUCUAAAAUUAAAAAUGUAAUAGGUGGUUUUGAAAGCGGAGAAGAGGAUUAUUGAAUUGGAA
rnacentral:lncRNA from 1 species